ensembl:snoRNA U3 Small nucleolar RNA U3
GAGAGCCAGACAUACAGGGAUCAUUUCUGUAGUUUGUUACUAGAGAAGUUUCUCUGACUGUGUAGAGCACCAGAAACCACGAGGAAGAGACGUGGCCUUCCCUCCUGAGCAUGAAGCCGGCUCUAGGUACUGCUUUUCUGCAGCUGCCUCCUGCCAUUGAUGAUAGGUCUUCUCUGCCUUUGGGAAAGGGAGAGGGAGGGAACACAGUCUGAGUGGA